UGGGAUCUAGAGCCCAGGUGUGUUUCCUAA
rnacentral:piRNA from 1 species